UAACUGAAGAGUUUGAUCAUGGCUCAGAUUGAACGCUGGCGGCAGGCUUAACACAUGCAAGUCGAGCGGGGGAAGGUAGCUUG
rnacentral:rRNA from 1 species